GACGAACGCUGGCGGCGUGCUUAACACAUGCAAGUCGAACGGAAAGGCCCUGCUUUUGUGGGGUGCUCGAGUGGCGAACGGGUGAGUAACACGUGAGUAACCUGCCCUUGACUUUGGGAUAACUUCAGGAAACUGGGGCUAAUACCGGAUAGGAGCUCCUGCUGCAUGGUGGGGGUUGGAAGGUUUCGGCGGUUGGGGAUGGCCUCGCGGCUUAUCAGCUUGUUGGUGGGGUAGUGGCUUACCAAGGCUUUGACGGGUAGCCGGCCUGAGAGGGUGACCGGCCACAUUGGGACUGAGAUACGGCCCAGACUCCUACGGGAGGCAGCAGUGGGGAAUAUUGCACAAUGGGCGGAAGCCUGAUGCAGCAACGCCGCGUGCGGGAUGACGGCCUUCGGGUUGUAAACCGCUUUCGCCUGUGACGAAGCGUGAGUGACGGUAAUGGGUAAAGAAGCACCGGCUAACUACGUG
rnacentral:rRNA from 1 species